rnacentral:rRNA from 1 species
UAGUCCUAGCCGUAAACGAUGAGCACUAGGUUGGGGGGCCUUCGGGUUUCCCUUCCGUAGCUAACGCGUUAAGUGCUCCGCCUGGGGAGUAUGCGCGCAAGCGUAAAACUCAAAGGAAUUGACGGGGGCUCACACAAGCGGAGGAGCAUGUGGUUUAAUUCGAAGCAACGCGAAGAACCUUACCAAGGCUUGACAUCUAGGGAUUAGGGUCUGGAAACAGAUCUGACACUCUUCGGAGCGGAACCUAGACAGGUGUUGCAUGGCUGUCGUCAGCUCGUGUCGUGAGAUGUCGCGUUAAGUCGUUGAACGAGCGAAACCCUUGUCGUUAGUUGCCAGCGGGUAAUGCCGGGGACUCUAACGAGACCGCCGUGGUUGACACGGAGGAAGGUGGGGACGACGUCAAGUCAUCAUGGCCCUUAUGCCUUGGGCUACACACGUGCUACAAUGGUCUGUACAGAGGGUUGCUACACAGUAAUGUGAUGCUAAUCUCUAAAGCAGGCCCCAGUUCCGGAUUGU